AGUGAACGCUGGCGGUAGGCCUAACACAUGCAAGUCGAACGGCAGCACAGUAAGAGCUUGCUCUUACGGGUGGCGAGUGGCGGACGGGUGAGGAAUACAUCGGAAUCUACUUUUUCGUGGGGGAUAACGUAGGGAAACUUACGCUAAUACCGCAUACGACCUACGGGUGAAAGCAGGGGAUCUUCGGACCUUGCGCGAUUGAAUGAGCCGAUGUCGGAUUAGCUAGUUGGCGGGGUAAAGGCCCACCAAGGCGACGAUGCGUAGCUGGUCUGAGGGGAUGAUCAGCCACACUGGAACUGAGACACGGUCCAGACUCCUACGGGAGGCAGCAGUGGGGAAUAUUGGACAAUGGGCGCAAGCCUGAUCCAGCCAUGCCGCGUGGGUGAAGAAGGCCUUCGGGUUGUAAAGCCCUUUUGUUAGGAAAGAAAAGCAGCAGGUUAAUACCCCGCUGUUCUGACGGUACCCAAAGAGUAAGCACCGGCUAACUACGUG
rnacentral:rRNA from 1 species